rnacentral:sRNA from 1 species
AUUCUACCCAUGUGGGGAAGGAUGAGAAGCUUCGACUAAGGUUCGAUUCGAGCGCAGCGAGAAAGCGUUGCCGCAGGCAACGACCCGAAGGGCGAAGCGCGCAGCGCUGAGUAAUCCUUCCCCCACCGCCA